AUUGAACGCUGGCGGCAUGCCUUACACAUGCAAGUCGAACGGUAACAGGUCUUCGGAUGCUGACGAGUGGCGAACGGGUGAGUAAUACAUCGGAACGUGCCCGAUCGUGGGGGAUAACGAGGCGAAAGCUUUGCUAAUACCGCAUACGAUCUACGGAUGAAAGCGGGGGAUCUUCGGACCUCGCGCGGACGGAGCGGCCGAUGGCAGAUUAGGUAGUUGGUGGGAUAAAAGCUUACCAAGCCGACGAUCUGUAGCUGGUCUGAGAGGAUGAUCAGCCACACUGGGACUGAGACACGGCCCAGACUCCUACGGGAGGCAGCAGUGGGGAAUUUUGGACAAUGGGCGAAAGCCUGAUCCAGCCAUGCCGCGUGCAGGAUGAAGGCCUUCGGGUUGUAAACUGCUUUUGUACGGAACGAAAAUCCUCUUUCUAAUAAAGAGGGGUCAUGACGGUACCGUAAGAAUAAGCACCGGCUAACUACGUG
rnacentral:rRNA from 1 species